rnacentral:rRNA from 1 species
UUAAAUUGAAGAGUUUGAUCAUGGCUCAGAUUGAACGCUGGCGGCAGGCCUAACACAUGCAAGUCGAACGGUAACAGGAAGAAGCUUGCUUCUUUGCUGACGAGUGGCGGACGGGUGAGUAAUGUCUGGGAAACUGCCUGAUGGAGGGGGAUAACUACUGGAAACGGUAGCUAAUACCGCAUAACGUCGCAAGACCAAAGAGGGGGACCUUCGGGCCUCUUGCCAUCGGAUGUGCCCAGAUGGGAU